AUUGAACGCUGGCGGCAGGCCUAACACAUGCAAGUCGCACGCGUGUCGGCCGGGUGCGUAAUGUCUGGGAAACUGCCUGAUGGAUGGGGAUAACUACUAGAAACGGUAGCUAAUACCGCAUCCCAUCAGAUGUGCCCAGAUGGGAUUAGCUAGUUGGUGGGGUAACGGCUCACCAAGGCGACGAUCACGAGCUGGUCUGAGAGGAUGACCAGCCACACUGGAACUGAGACACGGUCCAGACUCCUACGGGAGGCAGCAGUGGGGAAUAUUGCACAAUGGGCGCAAGCUUGAUGCAGCCAUGCCGCGUGGAUGAAGAAGGCCUGCGGGUUGUAAAGUACUUUCAGCGGGGAGGCGUUACCCGCAGAAGAAGCACCGGCUAACUCCGUGCCAGCAGCCGCGGUAAUAC
rnacentral:rRNA from 1 species